rnacentral:lncRNA from 1 species
AGAUUUAUUAAUAGCUUGUGUUUGCCCAGAGCUUUAAAAGCAAGCCCCGAGGCACCGAGAACCUCACCUACCAGGCACUGCUGUGUAGCACAGGGUGGCCUUUCCAGAGGGCUCUCAACCCCCCCAACCCGAAAACCUCAAGAUCUGAAAGGAAUUUGGGGGCCCUAUUAUCAGAGGCUAUUUCUGAGCACAGCAGCAGUGUGGGAGACAGCGGAUGGGGAUACCUUUGACAUGGGUGGUCCACCGGGCAGCGGUGAAGACCCUGGGCAGGCAGAGCAGUCAAAAGGAGGGGGAGAACAAGUGGGAACUGGGAUUUGGGAAUGAGUGAAGCCUCUGACUAUGAAUUCAGGGGCAGAGGCAGCCAACAGCAUCUGAAUCUGCACACAGCCCUCAUUUGCAAUCAUUGGCUGGCUCUAUAAACAAGGAGGUUCUGCAAACAGCACAAGUGUGUUAAAUAGCUUCAGACUCUCUAAACAGCAGCUUGCUUUAUGCACAGAGGAUGGUGUAUUCAUCAGGGACCUGGUAAGCAGACGGCCACAGGAUUCAUACUCCAGGAUUUAAGCUACAGACCAAGAGACCAUCUGCUGGUGCACAUGGGAAAGUGUGGGUCGGUUUCGGUGUCUUAUCGAUAUCGUGGGCAGGAUGGUUUGCCCAGAAGACCUGCAUCUCUGGGGGACACUCACUGCCCUCGCACUAAAAGGAACAGAGGAUGGGCAAGUUCCCAGUUCCUUCCCUACAGCUUCCCUUUGGUCCAUGCCACUACAGGACUUCUCAUUGGGAAUCUCUGGAUGUCUGGCUGUGACAAGCUUGGGCCAUACUUUCUUAAGAGGGAGGCUGGGCUCCUUGCAGAAGGCUGAAGCUAGUGGCAAUGGCAACGUGCAGCAUUGUUCAGUUCUUCUGGUUUACAGUCCAUUUGGACAUCCAUUAUUUAUGGCAGCUGAGUGGCUGUGAACAAGCUGAGACUCAAUUAAGAUAAUGUUCCCCCACACAGGAGCGGUGGUUAAUGCUGAAAAGUUAUUCCAACUCAUCCUUUACACUGCAUAGAGCUGGAGAUAUAAAGAGACCAAGGGGCUGAGUUAGAGAAGCCCAGAGACAGAGAGCUAGAGUGGAGAACAGAGAGAUGGAAGGGGAAAGAGGGAAGCAGAUGCAUCCUGAGUCUGGAGGAAGAGGCAUCCCUCCCACAGGCCACCUCUGCCCUUGUCCCCAGCCUCUGUGCUGGAACCCCUGCUCCCCAUCCUAGGAGGGGAGGAGGUAUGUCUCCUGGAUCUCAGAGGUCCUUGAGCUGAGUCUUCCCAUCUCCAGUGCUGCCCUCCCUUCCUUGUCUUGUCCUGUCCCCUGCCUGGCCUGCAUCAUCAGCCUGUCCCCUGAGCACUAGUGAUGGUGCCUGCUGGGGGCAGUGGACAUGCUGCAGGCUGCUGUGCUACCCUGGUCCCCACAGCAGGAGAGCAGUGAGAGGUGGGCAGGCAGGCAGGGGCUUCCAAGGGAGAGAAAGAGAGGGGGUGCUGGGACAGGUUUGGGGGCAAAGGUGGAGGAAAAGUAGGUGGCAAAGGAGUGACUCAGAGAGUCAGGAAGGGCGGGCAGCAGCCGGUGUGGCCUUUACUGAGGUCAUCUGAGAGGGACAGGGCCUCCUUGCCAUGCACCUGCUGGUCGGCCAUUUCUUCCACCCCAGCAUCACAUAGGGGUCCUCCUGCCCACUCCCCCAUGUCGCUCCUCUAGACCUUUCACUCCACGUCACGAGGCAACUUCCUGGCGAGAAUUGCCCCCGAUUUCCAUUUAUCUUUGAGACUUUCAGCUAAAGGGAUUUGAGAGCAGCCGGCAGGUUCACAGGCCUAAUCAGGCCUGAUGCAUCUCUAACCAGACAGGGAGUGUGCGUCUGGAUUUGUCGCCCGACAGGUACAGAUGUCGGAGGCUCUCAUCCAUGAGACGGAAUCACUCUCGGGGAUUGAGAGGCUGAGCGGGCGUCAAUCAGAGGCAGGCUGCACAACUCAAACAGGGGACGGAGGCUUUUGGCAAAGCCCCUUCCGACAGAGCCAGGUCAGCAGGCACUUCACUUCAUCAACUGAAUUACGGAAGGCUUCAACCCCAGGGCUGAGAAUUUCGAAGGAUGCUCCCGUUCUGCAGUAUUC